AUUGAACGCUGGCGGCAUGCCUAACACAUGCAAGUCGAGCGGAUGAAGGGAGCUUGCUCCUGGAUUCAGCGGCGGACGGGUGAGUAAUUCCUAGGAAUCUGCCUGGUAUUUGGGGAUAACGUCCGUAAACGGGCGCUAAUACCGCAUACGUCCUGAGUGAGAACGUGGUGGAUCUUCGGACCUCGCGCGAUUAGCUGAGCCUAGGUCGGAUUAGCUAGUUGGUGGGGUAAAGGCCUACCAAGGCGACGAUCCGUAACUGGUCUGAGAGGAUGAUCAGUCACACUGGAACUGAGACACGGUCCAGACUCCUACGGGAGGCAGCAGUAGGGAAUCUUGGACAAUGGGCGAAAGCCUGAUCCAGCCAUGCCGCGUGUGUGAAGAAGGUCUUCGGAUUGUAAAGCACUUUAAGUUGGGAGGAAGGGAAGUAAGUUAAUACCUUGAUGUUUUGACGUUACCAACAGAAUAAGCACCGGCUAACUUCGUG
rnacentral:rRNA from 1 species